GUAGGUGAACCUGCGGAAGGAUCAUUAAAAAUGAAGCCGGGAAACCGGUCCUUCUAACCCUUGAUUAUCUUAAUUUGUUGCUUUGGUGGGCCGCGCAAGCACCGGCUUCGGCUGGAUUGUGCCCGCCGGAGGACCCGAACUCUUGUUUUAGCAGUGGCAUCUUCUGAGUAAUUUUAUAAAUAAAUCAAAACUUUCAACAACGGAUCUCUUGGUUCUG
rnacentral:misc_RNA from 1 species